GACAGAGGGGGCAAGCGUUGUCCGGAUUGACUGGGCGUACAGCGCGCGCAGGCGGGGGGCAAGGUGCCGUGUGACAGCCGGACGCUUAACGUCCGCGGGCCACGGUAGACCGGUCGCCUAGAGGCAGGGAGAGGGCAGUGGAAUACCCGGUGGAGCGGUGAAAUGCGUAGAGAUCGGGUGGAACACCAGCGGCGAAGGCGGCUGCCUGGCCCUGGCCUGACGCUGAGGCGCGAGAGCGUGGGGAGCGAACCGG
rnacentral:rRNA from 1 species